rnacentral:rRNA from 1 species
AUAAAUUUUUGUAUUAAUUUAUUUUUAUUUUAAUAAUAAAAUUAAAAUUUAAUUUAGUAAUUAAUAUUAAAAAUUUAAGAAAUUAAGAUUUAGUAAUAUUUAAAUUAAUAACAAAUUUUGUGCCAGCAGUUGCGGUUAAACAAAAGUUAAAUUAAAAUUUAUUAGUUAAUUAAUUAAUAAAAGAAAAUUAUAUUUAAUUAAAUUUUAAAUUAUUAGGUGAAAUUUUAAUUUAAUUAAAAUUAAAUUAUAUAUUAUAAUUUAAUAAAUUUCAUUAAUAAACUAGGAUUAGAUACCCUAUUAUAAGAAAAUUAAAUAUAUAAUAUACUAAAAUAGUAAUUAAUUAUUUAUUGAAACUUAAAUAAUUUGGCGGUAUUUUAGUUCAUUUAGAGGAAUCUGUUUAAUAAUUGAUAAUCCACGAAUAAAUUUACUUAAUUUAUUAUUUUGUAUAUCGUUGUUAAAAAAAUAUUUUUAAAUAAUAAUAAUAUUUAAUAUUUUAAAUUUAAAAUUAAAUCAGAUCAAGAUGCAGAUUAUAAUUAAGAAUAUAAUGGAUUACAAUAAAUUUAUUUAUACUAAUGUUAUCUUGAAAAAGUUAAUUGAGGGUGGAUUUAAAUGUAAUUUUAUUUAAUUUAUUAAAAUGAUUAAAAAUUAAAAUAUGUACAUAUUGCCCGUCGCUUUCAUUAAUAAAUUGGAAUAAGUCGUAACAAAGUAGAGGUACUGGAAAGUGUUUCUAGAAAUAA